rnacentral:sRNA from 1 species
AAAUAGCCCUGAUGGCAGCGGCAUCCUCUUGUCUCGUCUUUUGGGACGAGACAAGAGAUAGAGCGGACAGCAGGAGGGAAG